AAUGAACGCUGGCGGCAGGCCUAACACAUGCAAGUCGAACGGGAUCUUCGGAUCUAGUGGCGGACGGGUGAGUAACGCGUGGGAACGUGCCCUUUGGUUCGGAAUAGCCCCGGGAAACUGGGAGUAAUACCGGAUGAGCCCUUCGGGGGAAAGAUUUAUCGCCAAAGGAUCGGCCCGCGUUGGAUUAGGUAGUUGGUGGGGUAAUGGCCUACCAAGCCGACGAUCCAUAGCUGGUUUGAGAGGAUGAUCAGCCACACUGGGACUGAGACACGGCCCAGACUCCUACGGGAGGCAGCAGUGGGGAAUCUUAGACAAUGGGCGCAAGCCUGAUCUAGCCAUGCCGCGUGAGCGAUGAAGGCCUUAGGGUGUAAAGCUCUUUCAGUGGGGAAGAUAAUGACUGUACCCACAGAAGAAGCCCCGGCUAACUCCGUG
rnacentral:rRNA from 1 species